CAAGAAAAUGAAGGGCGAGAUCUGUGUAUUCAUUCAAAUGGAAAAGAAUGCAGAUGGCCAGCUCUUUUAGGCACACGUAAGUAGAGGCAGUUUACUAAGGGUUGGUGACUUUUGCUAUGUUGGAUAAAGUGGGGAUCUCCUUACUAUUUGAAAACAUAGGUAAAUAUUUGCAAGAUUAAGUAUGCAUAAAUUAAGUUAUGAAUUUUGUUAACAUUAGUCUCUGCCACUGAUUUUAGACAAUUGAACGUGAUAAUUUUUUAUUGUUAAAGAAAACACUUAUUAUAUUUUUAUAUGAUAAAAAUAUUUUUAAUAAAAAA